rnacentral:rRNA from 1 species
ACUCAAAUGAAUAGACGGGGACCCGCACAAGCGGUGGAGUAUGUGGCUUAAUUCGAUGCAACGCGAAGAACCUUACCAGGGCUUGACAUGUAUUGUAACCCCGGUGAAAGCCGGGCAGCGUAGAAAUACGCGCUUUACACAGGUGCUGCAUGGCUGUCGUCAGCUCGUGUCGUGAGAUGUUGGGUUAAGUCCCGCAACGAGCGCAACCCUUAUGGUUUGUUGCCACCGGCAUUCGCCGAGCACUCAAAUCAGACUGCCCAGAUUAACUGGGAGGAAGGUGGGGAUGACGUCAAGUCCGUAUGGCCCUUACGUCCUGGGCUGCACACGUACUACAAUGUCCAGUACAAAAUGAUCUGAAACCGCAAGGUGGAAGAAAUCACCAAAACUGGGCUCAGUUCAGAUUGCAGGCUGCAACUCGCCUGCAUGAAGUCGGAAUCGCUAGUAAUGGUACAUCAGCAACGGUACCGUGAAUACGUUCCCGGGUCUUGUACACACCGCCCGU